AGAAGACUGAACAGAGUCUUGUCCCCUGAUUAGACUUCAUCUGGAAUAUUUGGUUCUGUUCUAGGUAUCAGAUACUUAGAAGGACAUUGACAAAAUGGAUUGGACUCAGAAGGCAACAAAGAUGGUAAAGCCUGACUUGUGAGUGCUCUACCCAGUUGUCUUCUUUAUCCGGAGUCUGAAAUAUUCAGCAGACCAAGCUCAGAGGAUUUGGGAAUGAAAACGCUCAGUAUAGGUGAGUGGGUUGAAAACAUCCUAGUGCGAGGGCGGCCCCUAUUCCCCACACUUCCAUCCGGCGCCGAGGACUUUGGGACCUGCAGAGGGCGCUGUUCACUCGUCUCCAGGUUCAUGGCUGCAGCCGGCAUAGAGUCGCGGGCAGCGCUGGGUGGCUGGAGGCGCCCUCUGCUUUCUGUGCUUGCAGCAGCAGCAGCGGCCAACGCCGCCGCCACCGCCGCCGCCUUAUGGGAGUGUGCGUGCCUCCCGCUCCCUCCCGCCCUCUCCCCGGGCUGUAAGAGAGGGCAGUAAAUCUGGAGCGAGAGACACCCGCUCUGCCGCACGUUUCCAGGCGCCGGCUUCCCAGCCGCCGCCUCCACCUCUACUGCUGCUUCUCUUUGUCCGGGGAAAGGAAGGAGGGAGGGAAGAAGGGAGGAGUAGUUGCUGCUGCUGCUGCUGCUGCGGCACCAGGUGCAUCCUCGGAGCUCUCCAUCACUCGGCGCCCCUUCCCCCGGGCACUGAGCCGCGCGCUUGGAGACCCGUGGCGGGGCGGCGGCAGCUUCCUUGGGUGGGUGUCCGCGUACAGGUUUCCAACAACUGGAUUGAUUGUCUACUAGGGAAAAUUGUCACCAAUGGCAGUAAAACUGAUUUUCCGGUGCACUGGGUAAGUUUUUUGUUUAUCAUUCCAUUCAUUGAUUUUUUUUCAUUCAAUUUUGAUUUUAAGUCCCUAAUCACAUUUUUUUUUGUUGAAGAGACUUUUAGGUGGAUUUACUAUAUACUGGGUGCCAUUCAAAUAAAACAUCUGGCCAUUAUGUUUUGUAAACCAAACAAAAAGAAACUGCUGAAAAUUAACUUUUAUGAAAGCAGAAUUUGAUGAUGUAUUCUUUUUUGGGGGAAAACACUAAAAUACUGACAGAAAUUUAAGUCCAAAGAGAUACUUUGGUAUAUGAUUCUAGAACUAGUUCUGCUUUUUUUUUUUGUUGCUGAUAUAUGAAACCAUUAGUAUGUGAUAAUAAAGGAACUGUCAUGUAGUGAAAGUGAAGGAAA
rnacentral:lncRNA from 1 species